rnacentral:rRNA from 3 species
GUAAGUGCCAAUGACCGUGAGGGUCCACCUGUUCCCAUUUCGAACACAGAAGUUAAGCUCACGAGUGCCGAAAAUACUUGGCUGGCGACGGCCUGGGAAAAUAGGUCGGUGCUUACA